rnacentral:rRNA from 1 species
CGGGACGGGUGAGUAACGCGUGGGUAACCUGCCUUGUACUGGGGGACAACAGUUAGAAAUGGCUGCUAAUACCGCAUAAGCGCACAGUAUCGCAUGAUACAGUGUGAAAAACUCCGGUGGUACAAGAUGGACCCGCGUCUGAUUAGCUAGUUGGUAAGGUAACGGCUUACCAAGGCGACGAUCAGUAGCCGACCUGAGAGGGUGACCGGCCACAUUGGGACUGAGACACGGCCCAA